CCAGCUCACACCAGCUAGGCCUCCUCCAAAACUCAGAUAAAUAUUUGAGCCACCAAAAAAAAAACGAGAACAGAUCGGUCUGAAUCGUUAAGAACUGAAGCUAACAUCAUAGAGGUACAUCCUUCCAAGAAUCCAUCAAAACAACAUGCUGAACAACUUCAAGAACUCUCUUCAAAAGACCACACUUUCCUGAAAUAAAUAAAAGAUGCCAAUAUUAAAAUAAAUCAGUUACAUGUAUUGUUAAAUAUUUUAAUACUAGCUGUAAAUGCUACUGCCUUUGAUGUUUGCUUCCUACAUGUAUAUCAUAAUGAAAUAUUGACAAGAUAAUAGCUAAUGUUU